rnacentral:rRNA from 1 species
GGGGGGGGGGGGGGGGGGGGGGGGGGGGGGGGGGGCGGGGGGCGGCGCGGGAGGGGGGGGGUCGUGCGGGUGGCGGGUGGCGGGCGGGGGGGGAAUACAUCGGAAUCUACUUUUGCGUGGGGGAUAACGUAGGGAAACUUCCGCUACUACCGCAUACGACCUCCGGGUGAAAGCAGGGGAUCUUCGGCCCUUGCGCGAUUGCAUGAGCCGAUGUCGGAUUAGCUAGUUGGCGGGGUAAAGGCCCACCAAGGCGACGAUCCGUAGCUGGUCUGAGAGGAUGAUCAGCCACACUGGAACUGAGACACGGUCCAGACUCCUACGGGAGGCAGCAGUGGGGAAUAUUGGACAAUGGGCGCAAGCCUGAUCCAGCCAUACCGCGUGGGUGAAGAAGGCCUUCGGGUUGUAAAGCCCUUUUGUUGGGAAAGAAAAGCAGCAGGUUAAUACCCCGCUGUUCUGACGGUACCCAAAGAAUAAGCACCGGCUAACUUCGUG